rnacentral:rRNA from 1 species
GACGAACGCUGGCGGCGUGCUUAACACAUGCAAGUCGAACGGAAAGGCCCUGCUUUUGUGGGGUGCUCGAGUGGCGAACGGGUGAGUAACACGUGAGUAACCUGCCCUUGACUUUGGGAUAACUUCAGGAAACUGGGGCUAAUACCGGAUAUGAGCUCCUUCUGCAUGGUGGGGGUUGGAAAGUUUCGGCGGUUGGGGAUGGACCCGCGGCUUAUCAGCUUGUUGGUGGGGUAGUGGCUUACCAAGGCUUUGACGGGUAGCCGGCCUGAGAGGGUGACCGGCCACAUUGGGACUGAGAUACGGCCCAGACUCAUACGGGAGGCAGCAGUGGGGAAUAUUGCAAAAUGGGCGGAAGCCUGAUGCAGCGACGCCGCGUGCGGAAUGACGGCCUUCGGGUUGUAAACCGCUUUCGCCUGUGACGAAGCGUGAGUGACGGUAAUGGGUAAAGAAGCACCGGCUAACUACGUG